rnacentral:tRNA from 1 species
AAAAAGAUAAGCUAAGAAAGCUAUUAGGCCCAUAACCUAAAUAUAGAAGUAAAAUCCUCUUCUUUUUA